rnacentral:rRNA from 1 species
AAUUCGAUUAGAGUUUGAUCCUGGCUCAGAUUGAACGCUGGCGGCAUGCCUUACACAUGCAAGUCGAACGGCAGCACGGGAGCUUGCUCCUGGUGGCGAGUGGCGAACGGGUGAGUAAUACAUCGGAACGUACCCAGGAGUGGGGGAUAACGUAGCGAAAGUUACGCUAAUACCGCAUAUUCUGUGAGCAGGAAAGCGGGGGAUCGCAAGACCUCGCGCUCUUGGAGCGGCCGAUGUCGGAUUAGCUAGUUGGUGAGGUAAAAGCUCACCAAGGCGACGAUCCGUAGCAGGUCUGAGAGGAUGAUCUGCCACACUGGGACUGAGACACGGCCCAGACUCCUACGGGAGGCAGCAGUGGGGAAUUUUGGACAAUGGGGGCAACCCUGAUCCAGCCAUGCCGCGUGAGUGAAGAAGGCCUUCGGGUUGUAAAGCUCUUUCGGCGGGGAAGAAAUGGCAACGGCUAAUAUCCGUUGUUGAUGACGGUACCCGCAUAAGAAGCACCGGCUAACUACGUGCCAGCAGCCGCGGUAAUACGUAGGGUGCGAGCGUUAAUCGGAAUUACUGGGCGUAAAGCGUGCGCAGGCGGUUUCGUAAGACAGACGUGAAAUCCCCGGGCUCAACCUGGGAACUGCGUUUGUGACUGCGAGGCUAGAGUACGGCAGAGGGGGGUAGAAUUCCACGUGUAGCAGUGAAAUGCGUAGAGAUGUGGAGGAAUACCGAUGGCGAAGGCAGCCCCCUGGGUU